UGUUGGGAAACAGCAAAUUGAAGCCA
rnacentral:piRNA from 1 species